AUUGAACGCUGGCGGCAGGCCUAACACAUGCAAGUCGAACGAGUGGCGGACGGGUGAGUAAUGUCUGGGAAACUGCCUGAUGGAGGGGGGGAACUACUGGAAACGGUAGCUAAUACCGCAUACCAUCAGAGGUGCCCAGAUGGGAUUAGAUUGGUGGUGGGGUAACGGCUCACCAAGGCGACGAUCCCUAGCUGGUCUGAGAGGAUGACCAGCACCCCUGGAACUGAGACACGGUCGCAACUCCUACGGGAGGCAGCAGUGGGGAAUAUUGCACAAUGGGCGCAAGCCUGAUGCAGCCAUGCCGCGUGUAUGAAGAAGGCCUUCGGGUUGUAAAGUACUUUCAGCAGGGAGGCGUUACCCGCAGAAGAAGCAACGGCUAACUCCGUGCCAGCAGCCGCGGUAAUUC
rnacentral:rRNA from 1 species